AACGAACGCUGGCGGCAUGCCUAACACAUGCAAGUCGAACGAGACCUUCGGGUCUAGUGGCGCACGGGUGCGUAACGCGUGGGAAUCUGCCCUUGGGUUCGGAAUAACAGUGAGAAAUUACUGCUAAUACCGGAUGAUGUCUUCGGACCAAAGAUUUAUCGCCCAGGGAUGAGCCCGCGUAGGAUUAGCUAGUUGGUGGGGUAAUGGCCUACCAAGGCGACGAUCCUUAGCUGGUCUGAGAGGAUGAUCAGCCACACUGGGACUGAGACACGGCCCAGACUCCUACGGGAGGCAGCAGUGGGGAAUAUUGGACAAUGGGCGCAAGCCUGAUCCAGCAAUGCCGCGUGAGUGAUGAAGGCCUUAGGGUUGUAAAGCUCUUUUAACCGGGAUGAUAAUGACAGUACCGGGAGAAUAAGCUCCGGCUAACUCCGUG
rnacentral:rRNA from 1 species